GAUGAACGCUGGCGGCGUGCCUAAUACAUGCAAGUCGAGCGAACGGACGAGAAGCUUGCUUCUCUGAUGUUAGCGGCGGACGGGUGAGUAACACGUGGAUAACCUACCUAUAAGACUGGGAUAACUUCGGGAAACCGUAGCUAAUACCGGAUAAUAUUUUGAACCGCAUGGUUCAAAAGUGAAAGACGGUCUUGCUGUCACUUAUAGAUGGAUCCGCGCUGCAUUAGCUAGUUGGUAAGGUAACGGCUUACCAAGGCAACGAUGCAUAGCCGACCCGAGAGGGUGAUCGGCCACACUGGAACUGAGACACGGUCCAGACUCCUACGGGAGGCAGCGGUAGGGAAUCUUCCGCAAUGGGCGAAAGCCUGACGGAGCAACGCCGCGUGAGUGAUGAAGGUCUUCGGAUCGUAAAACUCUGUUAUUAGGGAAGAACAUAUGUGUAAGUAACUGUGCACAUCUUGACGGUACCUAAUCAGAAAGCCACGGCUAACUACGUG
rnacentral:rRNA from 1 species